rnacentral:rRNA from 1 species
GCAACUCGCCUGCAUGAAGCUGGAAUUGCUAGUAAUCGCGGAUCAGCAUGCCGCGGUGAAUACGUUCCCGGGCCUUGUACACACCGCCCGUCACACCAUGAGAGUCGGGAACACCCGAAGUCCGUAGUCUAACCCGCAAGGGAGGGCGCGGCCGAAGGUGGGUCCGGUAAUUGGGGUGAAGUCGUAACAAGGUAAC